rnacentral:lncRNA from 1 species
CUCGAGAGAGAGAGAGAGAGAGGGCCGUUGGGUCGGUCUUCUUUGGUACAGGUAGCCUUCUUCUUCCUUUGCCGUCGGAGAGGAAGAGAGGCGCCGGAUCUUCGUCGGAGCGGAGGUAAGAGUCCCUAGCCUUCCUUUCCUCUUCUCUCAGUGCUUGGCUAUGAGGUGUUGUGGUUUGGAGUCGGCCAAGCGCCGAAUUUGGGUCCAAAAUGGGGUGCUCUGCUUCGGCCUGUGUGCUCUACCUGCGGCGUGUUCGCCGCCGACAGCCACCGGAGGUGGUCGGGCUUGCUCCGCUACCUCCUGCCGCCGUCAGGGCCGGCCACCACGGUCGCCCCUGAGUCCGACUGAGAGGGAAGAAGAAGAAGGGGGGUCAUGGGCCCCCUGUUUCGCCAAAGGAGAAGAGAGGAGUCGGGAGAGGAAGGGAAAAGAAAAAGAAAAGAAAAAAAAGAAAAGAAGGAAAAAGAAAAGAAUAAUAAAUAAAUAGAGGGGAUGGUUUACGGGUAUGAACCCGAACUCGGGGUGCUAGGCACUUCUGCAGGAUCAACCAUAGGAGAAUAUUAAAAUUUAAGUUUUUGUAUACAUAUAUUGUGAUGAAUUUUAAAAGAAGAAUGCGAUUUUUGGAUAUUAGGUUUUGCGAGGGAUUUGCGAAAUUAAUUGGAUUUGUUGUUGAUCGCGUUCUCAAAGUAAGUAAUAUAAUCUUUUUCAAGAUUUAUUGGCAAGUUAUAAAUAUUUUCUUGAGUCGAGUUAUUCUUGAUUUACAAAUUCGAUGCAUGGUGU